rnacentral:rRNA from 1 species
CCUACGGGAGGCAGCAGUGGGGAAUAUUGGGCAAUGGGCGCAAGCCUGACCCAGCAAUGCCGCGUGAAGGAAGAAGGCUUUCGGGUUGUAAACUUCUUUGACAGGGGAAGAGCAGAAGACGGUACCCUGAAAACAAGCCACGGCUAACUACGUGCCAGCAGCCGCGGUAAUACGUAGGUGGCAGGCGUUAUCCGGAUUUACUGGGUGUAAAGGGCGUGUAGCCGGGAAGGCAAGUCCGAUGUGAAAUCUGGAGGCUCAACCUCCAAAUUGCAUUUGAAACUGUUUUGCUUGAGUACUGGAGAGGCAGACGGAAUGCCUUGUGUAGCGGUGAAAUGCGUAGAUAUAAGGAGGAACACCAGUGGCGAAGGCGGUCUGCUGGACAGCAACUGACGGUGAGGCGCGAAAGCGUGGGGAGCAAACAGGAUUAGAUACCCGAGUAGUC